rnacentral:other from 1 species
AUUCCCAGUGCUGCACCGAGAGGACCUGUCUCCUGUGGACUGGAAGUUCUGUGGACCGGGAGUUUCUGGAGAGCCGUGUUGGUGAACAGCUGGCAGUAAUUUCCUAAGUCCCAUCUCUUCAUUUUCCUUUGUGUUGCAUUUCGUUUCGGAACAUCCAGAAACC